UUCUCAUACGAUCACUGAAGUUAAGCAACAUUGAGCCUGGUCAGUACCUAGAUGGGUGACUGCCUGGGAAUAGCU